CCCCGUACCGUAAACCGACACAGGUAGUCGAGGAGAGAAUCCCAAGGUGCUCGAGUGAAUCAUGGCUAAGGAACUCGGCAAAAUGGCCCUGUAACUUCGGGAGAAGGGGCGCUGAUAGCAAUAUCAGCCGCAGUGAAAAGGCCCAGGCGACUGUUUAACAAAAACACAUGGCUUUGCAAAAUCGAAAGAUGAGGUAUAAGGCCUGACACCUGCCCGGUGCUGGAAGGUUAAGAGGGGAUGUUAGUCGCAAGGCGAAGCAUUGAAUUGAAGCCCCAGUAAACGGCGGCCGUAACAAUAACGGUCCUAAGGUAGCGAAAUUCCUUGUCGGGUAAGUUCCGACCUGCACGAAUGGUGUAACGAUCUGGGCGCUGUCUCAGCCAUGAGCUCGGUGAAAUUGUGGUAUCGGUGAAGACGCCGGUUACCCGCAACGGGACGGAAAGACCCCAUGCACCUUCACUACAACUUAACAUUGAUAUUGGAUACAGGAUGUGUAGGAUAGGUGGGAGAUUGUGAAGCGGCCUCGCUAGGGGUCGUGGAAUCAACCUUGAAAUACCACCCUUUCUGUAUACGGUGUCUAACCCCGUUAUGCGGGGGACAUUGUUUGGUGGGUAGUUUGACUGGGGUGGUCGCCUCCAAAAGAGUAACGGAGGCUUUCAAAGGUAAGCUCAGUACGCUUGGUAACCGUACGGGGAGUGCAAUAGCAUAAGCUUGCUUGACAGUGAGACAGACAAGUCGAUCUGGGUCGAAAGACGGAUACAGUGAUCCGGCGGUUCUGCAUGGAAGGGCCGUCGCUCAAAGGAUAAAAGGUACGCUGGAUAACAGGCUGAUCUCCCCCAAGAGCUCAUAUCGACGGGGAGGUUUGGCACCUCGAUGUCGGCUCGUCACAUCCUGGGGCUGGAGAAGGUCCCAAGGGUUCGGCUGUUCGCCGAUUAAAGUGGCACGCGAGCUGGGUUCAGAACGUCGCGAGACAGUUCGGUCCCUAUCUGUUGUGGGCGUUGGAAGUUUGAGUGGGGCUGUCCUUAGUACGAGAGGACCGGGAUGGACAAACCGCUAGUGAAUCUGUUAUGGCGCCAGCUGUACUGCAGAGUAGCUACGUUUGGAAUAGAUAAGCGCUGAAAGCAUCUAAGCGCGAAACUAGCCACAAGAUGAGACUUCCAUUGAGGGCCGUAGAAGACUACUACGUUGAUAGGUUACAGGUGUAAAGGUGGUGACAUCAUAGCCGAGUAAUACUAAUUACCCU
rnacentral:rRNA from 1 species